UCUAUCCCUAGGGGCAUUGCAGGUAUGAUUGCUGCAUCACAUGUAGAUCAGUAAGCAUCAGAGAGGAAAGAGGCUAUGUCUAUGUUCAGUGUUCUGACCUGUGAACAUCUGAAUGAUUAGUAGCCAAACACU